rfam:Oryctolagus cuniculus cont2.76531, whole genome shotgun sequence.
CCAGAGAGCUGGGGUCUGGCCUGGCUGGGAGGCAGCGUGCGCCCCCGGGGCCCGGGGGUGGGGCCCCAGCAGAUGUCUGGGCUGCAGCCGGAUGCUGAGGAGGAGGCCUGCGGCUCAUUCGCACUCAGCGUCCUGAGAACAUCUGUGGCGGCGUCCGAGGCUUCGCCCUCGCUGAUCGCUGUGAUUCUCGUGUGAAGGCCAGAACUGGCUCAUUUCCGCGGUGCUGUGAUGAAGGUGAAAAGAUGCCUCUUAAUUAGAUUAAAACAUUUUUUUCUUCCUGUGUAAUUUGGCCUUGAGAAUCAAGGCCACUUUUUUGUUUUCUUCAUCCCAAGGCCUCCAGGAACUUCCCUCCCCACCUCUCCAGAGGUUUCUGGGGAAUGCCGUGUGAGCUCAGCUCCUGGAGGAGAGCGUGCUUAACCCAGAUUCCAUUGUGU